UACCAACAGUUUUGUUACCAGUAACUUUGACGCAAUGUUUUCGUCUAUUUUCAAAAUUUGUUUGAGUAUUCUCAUCUUUGCCAUUUUCAUAAUGGCUCAAGCCAAGCCCGAGGAGCAAAAUACAAAAGAUAAAUUAGUAUUCAAGUCACAUAAUAUUCAAAGACUACCGUUGCCACCAACAAAUCCGCCAGCUCCAUCCAAAACAGCGUAAUAUUUUCCAACACUAUGGAUUACUACUCCAAUUUGACACGGAUCACUAAAAAACUGGUUGAAAUGAAAGAUGUCAUUUCACAAUCUUGUUUCGAUUUUUAUUUGAUAAAUCAAAUGUGAAAACUAAAUAAACUAAACAAAUAUUUAGUUGCAA